CAUGUUCUGCAGAAUAGACACGAGGGUGAGUAUGAAAGAUAGAAUCUUCACGGUUAGAUUAACUAUUCCUUUAAAUGUAAAUUAUUAUAUCAUGGUUCUUUAUCGCAAUGUUUGUCUACAUAUGACUUUAUUAUCGCACUGACUGUGAUCUAGAGAGAAAUAUGGCCUACUGAAGCGAUCCGGUUUAAGCAGUAUGAAAUAAAACAGACUAAUUGGCACUACAGGGAGCAGGAUGAUUAAUUGAGAGAAUGAACAUAGACAGCGCUGGAACUGAAGAGCGCAAACUGCAUCUGCUUACUGUCUGUUACUGGCGCAGUCGGAGGCCAGGAGCGGGUCACUGUGCUGCUGUGGAUCUCACUGCUCAGUGGGGGGCAGCAGCACACUUACUACAUCUCUGGGUUGUUGAUUCAUAAUAAAAUAUUACAAUGUGUAUCUACACGGAUCCAUUUGUUGUAAAAUUCUGCCUGUAAAGGUUUCUGGGAAACGAUAUCGUUCACGCACGAAAUGGUUUGGUGCGAAGAUGUUUAUUUGAAAUGCGAGAGCAAGAUGAGGAAUCUUCAUGAAAGUGAUGACAUGAGCAAACACCACAAGAACAUCUGGCAUCCCUCCCUUCAUCUCUCACCUGUUUCUCAGGACCUUGAGCUCCUAUAAAUGGCACCUCUUGAAAGAUGUUGAUGCAGGCAGUGUUUGAGCAGCCUGCCCAUUUCCUGGCCAGGAAAGACAGUUUGCUUAAGCUGCUCGAUUUCUCAGAGGAUUGAGAAGUUUGCCACUUGCAGCUUCUGCUUAUGUAGCACAACAUGAGCAUCACGCUGAACCUCUCCAGCUUCACAAAGAACGCCAUGGGAAUAUUCUCUCUGUGUACUGCUCCACAUAUCAUCACAAAAAGGAUGUCAUACAAAUGUGUUUAUCUUUGCUUUUAACUGCUCCUGAUCCAGUAGCGGUGACCAUUACAUACAUUAUGUAUUAACUAGCCUACAUACGAUUUAUAACCUGGGAAACAGACAUUUUCUUCGUUCCAUAAUUACAGAAAUGCUAUCUCCUGAGUCCUGAAAACAACUCGGAACACAGCAGCUUGAUUGAUAGUUUUGUGGGAAUAAAGACUCAGUGUUCAUUUC